UAAGCAGGAGCGCAAAUUUAGCGAUGAAAAUUUUAGCGGUCUACUGCAAAACCGCUAGAAAAAGCCAAAGAUAGCACCGUCCAGAAAUUCCCGCUAUAGAUGUUGAAGUUAUUUCUUCUCUUCCUUCUCUUCGUCGUUUGCAGCGCUCAGUCUUGUAGGGAUUGCACUGUCAGAGAGCAGAAAUAUCGAGGAAACACCAAUUUCAAGUUCGACACUGGUUGUCUUCGGUAUUCGUGUCAAUGUUAUUGCAACGGUUCAUAUUACUGUCCCGCCUAUUUAACAAAGAAUAUCUGCCAAGAUCAACAGGGAAACAAGAAGCGAUGUCAAAACUGCAAGGUUGAUGGGAGAAGAUACGGGCGAGGGCGGUUCCUAUUCCAUAGAGGUUGCUACCGAUUUGAUUGCGACUGUAAUUGUGACGGCUCCUACAAGUGUCCUUCAUCGAGGACCAGAUACAUGUGCUAAAGAUUUACUGAAAAUUCUCUGAAAUAUUUGUCAUUGAUAAUUAAACAUCAAUACUCUAA